UACGUAGGGCGCAAGCGUUGUCCGGAAUUAUUGGGCGUAAAGAGCUCGUAGGCGGUCUGUCGCGUCUGCCGUGAAAACCCGAGGCUUAACCUCGGGCUGGCGGUGGAUACGGGCAGACUAGAGGUAGGUAGGGGAGAAUGGAAUUCCUGGUGUAGCGGUGAAAUGCGCAGAUAUCAGGAGGAACACCGGUGGCGAAGGCGGGUCUCUGGGCAACAACUGACGCUGAGGAGCGAAAGCGUGGGGAGCGAACAGG
rnacentral:rRNA from 1 species